CGAUGUCGUAUCGCCACAUCUGGCAGAUGUGCAAGAAGUCAGAGGUCCUCUUCUGGACAGCAGAGGAGGCCAGAGUGAAGAAGAAAAGCAGCAGCUCGCUGACGGAGAACCCUGGCCACGUCGUCAUCUUCCCCUUGGAUGUCGUACCGCCACAUCUGCGAGAUGUACAAGAAGACUGAUGCAUACGUCGGGACAACGGAAGAGACUCUGACACGAGGGGCAUGGAGAAACCUGUUUUUUUUGUUGUUUUUUUGAGGUUGUUCAUCGUUAAAGUACCAGUCUAAGGAGCUUGGAAAGAUGAGCUUCUAGAACUUGUAUGUGAGGAGCAGGAGCUCCCUGAAGGAGAACCCCGGCCACGUCGUCAUUUUUUUGAGGUUGUCCGUCGUCAAUGUACCAGUCUAAGGAGCUUGGAAAGAUGAGCUUCUAGAACUUGUAUGUGAGGAGCAGGAGCUCCCUGAACGAGAACCCCGGCCACGUCGUCAUUUUUUUGAGGUUGUCCGUCGACAAUGUACCAGUCUAAGGAGCUUGGAAAGAUGAGCUUCUAGAACUUGUAUGUGAGGAGCAGGAGCUCCCUGAACGAGAACCCCGGCCACGUCGUCAUUUUUUUGAGGUUGUCCGUCGUCAAUGUACCAGUCUAAGGAGCUUGGAAAGAUGAGCUUCUAGAACUUGUAUGUGAGGAGCAGGAACUCCCUGAAGGAGAACCCCGGCCACUUCGUCAUCUUCCCCUUGGAUGUCGUACCGCCACAUCUGGCAGAUGUACAAGGAUCAGUCUGGACAGCGGAGGUGGUAGCAGGAGCUGCGGCGGUAUUUGUCCUGCAGGUGUCUUGAGCGGCUUGCCAGAUGCUUUGCGGGUG